CCUGCUCUUUGAGAUGAUCGCCCACCGUAGCUCCGAACGAAGUGAGGAGCGUAGGUGGGAGGAACGUCCGGGCACUACUGGAACGCCAAGCGGGUAACACCCGUCGCCGUAUCAUAUAUCCUGUAAAGAUACGGUAGGACCAGUGCCACAGAGACGAGCCCCCGGCUUGCCGGGGGAGUGAAACGCCUCGGAGUACCGAGGAUCGUUACGGAGACCGUUACGACAAGUGUUAUGGGCUUUGCCCACCAAUAUGUCGUAGCGUCCAUAACGGAUGGCAAACUCUUGGUAGUGCAAGGAGGAUUUGGGUGUAUGGACUAUGUUCUGGUUCCGGAGCACCGUAUACCCCUCCGCACAGUGUCUUGCAAAAGACCGAGGCCGCUCAGUAAUGACGGCCCCAGAGAGAUGAUCAUCCUUCCGCAUAGUGCGGAAGAACAGAACCCGGCGUACAGAAGAUGCAGGAUUC
rnacentral:RNase_P_RNA from 1 species